CUACGUGCCAGCAGCCGCGGUAAUACGUAGGGUGCGAGCGUUAAUCGGAAUUACUGGGCGUAAAGCGAGCGCAGACGGUUACUUAAGCAGGAUGUGAAAUCCCCGGGCUCAACCUGGGAACUGCGUUCUGAACUGGGUGACUAGAGUGUGUCAGAGGGAGGUAGAAUUCCACGUGUAGCAGUGAAAUGCGUAGAGAUGUGGAGGAAUACCGAUGGCGAAGGCAGCCUCCUGGGAUAACACUGACGUUCAUGCUCGAAAGCGUGGGUAGCAAACAGGAUUAGAUACCCUGGUAGUCCACGCCCUAAACGAUGUCAAUUAGCUGUUGGGCAACUUGAUUGCUUAGUAGCGUAGCUAACGCGUGAAAUUGACCGCCUGGGGAGUACGGUCGCAAGAUUAAAACUCAAAGGAAUUGACGGGGACCCGCACAAGCGGUGGAUGAUGUGGAUUAAUUCGAUGCAACGCGAAGAACCUUACCUGGUCUUGGCAU
rnacentral:rRNA from 1 species